CUUCUGUGGUACAUUAGUGCUGCUUCAGAUGAACUGGUAGCAGGUGAAAACUAAACAGGUUCAGGAGCUCUGGGGACAGCAGUUUUACUGCAGGCAGGGAGGCAGAUAAUGGAAAACAGGAACAACAGGCAGAAGGGAAAAGAUUAUUUACUUUUGUGCUUUUAAGCUGGGCUCUGUGGUAUGAAGCUAUUGCCCGGCUUUCCACUUGCAAAUGACAUUCUUGUUUUUCUUCAUUUUGUCUUCAAAAUGGACAACCUCAAGAGAAUAUUAUACAGGAAACGUUUUUAAAACACUCCUGCCUGCAGGGCUGGCACUGUGCUAAAUUGGACCUCUGGGAAUCAAUGCUUCCUCUCUCUGCUGACAAAAGGUGUUAUGUCAGCCAGCAGACCAGUGGAGGUGGAGUAGGAGGUUUGCAGAACUUUUGAAAGAACAUCAGAGGACCAGUAUGGAACACCAUCAUCACAGAAUUAAUCUGGAGCCAUUUGUACCUACUGGAGGCUUCAGGAUCGAUGCCAGUGCACCCCCAACUGAGGACAGAACAUACCUACACCUCCAUUAAGAAUGCCAGUUUCAAGAUGCAGGUGAUACAUUUACACUGGAGCUCAGGAUAGUUCUAACCUCAUAAUUGCAUCUGAGAGGAUACAAACAGAAACAUUUAGCUUAUUAAAAGGCAAAUACCAGCUUCUGAACAAUAAUUCUUCCAGGUGCUUUGUAAGCUUCAGGAUAAAAAAGACAGCAUGAAUCCCUCCCAUGAACAAACAAGAACUACAGUCAAAAUUAUUAAUUAUGCCUUCUAUCUAGCUGCCUCAAUGUUAUGAUCUAUCUGUAUCUUAUUCCAGAGUGGCCAGUACCACAGCAUCCAAGUGCGGGACACCCAGGGCUAAAUUAUGAAUUAGACUACAAACUCUUGCAGGGGAGGAAGUGAGAUGUAAGAAACUAUCCCUACAUGCACACAUUCAUAGAUGGGCUAAUUGUACCUUGUGUCUGCACAUGCAAGAAAAAGCAAAUGUACCCCCAGAGAAGAGGGAUUGUGAGGGCUGAAAAGGGGUGGAACUUUGGCUUUGUUCUUCCCCUCGCAAUCUACUGGCUGAUGCGACUGAGCUGUCAUAGCAUGUCACAGUUUGCAGUUGGAAUGCCCAGCAGCAAACAACUGUCCUCUUCAGCCUCAGAGCAAGGAAAGAGUGGGGAAUGAUUUGUACCACACAUACAGGUACAAUGUCUCCAGGGGCUAUUUCUGAGUUGGUGCAGCUUAUGCAUCACCCCUUUCUCAGGGCUGUACCUAAGGGGACAAUUUAGCCCUUAGACAGAAGGUCUUAGAAAGCCCAAUUUGAUUAGAUAUUGGAGCUGGACAAAUUUUCUGUGAAUAUUUCCUUCAAAAUUUCUGGGCCUGAUUCUGCCAUCUUUACUCAGUUAGGUAGCAGUUCUAUUCAAUGUGACUAAGGGUGGCAGCGUCAGGCCUGUUACAGAGUGAGUUAAAUCUACAAGUCUCACCUCUGAUCUAGGGCUGUGUUUCCUCCUAAAUUAGGGAAGUUGGAGGACAGAGUCAUAUGACCUAGUGAUAGCAGGACUAUAUAAGGCUCCCGGUGUUUCAAUUGAGAAGAAUACUCUAGGGGAGCAGGAUGAGUUUGGACGUUUCUCUGUGGUGCCCCAGGGAAGAGACCUGGGAAGGGAGUUGGGUUAAGGAUGUAGCAACAGAAGGGCCAGCAGCAGAACGUUAGAAGGACCUGAGCAGGGAGGCCUUUCAUAAGUGAGGGGUCUGGAGCAAGACCUGUGAUGAUUUCCUGGCUGAAAGGGCACAAGGAAGGAUAAAGCUUGGCAGAGGUCUGUUUAAAGAGGCCAAGGAGAAAGCCUCCAUAGUGAUACUUGAAGUAGCGAAUAACCCUGGGAAAUAGUGGAGUAGGAUAAUCUUGGGCUUGGGACAGACUCCUGCUCAUAGGGUGACCAGGUGUCUGAUCAAAAAGGGACCCUGGCAGCUCCAGUCAGCGCCACCAACCGGGCCGUUAAAAGCCUAGGUGGUAGUGCUGCAGCGCUAAGGCAGGCUAGUGCCUACCUGUCUUGAGGCACUGUGUUGUGCUCCGGAAAUGGCCAGCAGGCCUGGCUUCUAGGUAGGAGGGCCAUGGGGCUCUGCUUGCUGCUCCCACUCAGAGCAGCGGCUCUGCGCUGCCAUUGGCCUGGAACUUAUACCUGCACUUCUGAGUUAUGCACUUAUGAUUGGCAAAUAGGGUCCUGGACUGUGAGACUUGUCUGACAAAUCAAAACUCAAUAACCUAGCAGAAAUAGCCAAUAGCAGUAAACUGUUUGCAAAUAAUUGAUAGUUAACAAAAUUGUAAAAUACAAAUAACAAAAAAUGGCUACAUUAAUCAGAUAGGCUAUUCAUUUUAUUGCUCCCAUCUAACAGGGUUAUAUUAUACAGAUAUACGGAAAGGAACCCCUAUAUAAAGUGGUGAAUCUGACCUUCCUUAGACAUACUAGACGGUACUGUAAUCUCUGCUACUCUUCAGAAAUAGAAACAUCAAAAUAUAUUAACAUAUAUGUAUGUAUGUGAUUAAUAUGCUUGCAUUCAUAAUUACCUGCUAAUGUUCAUAUUCAACUUUAAUAUUUAAAAGUAAGUGUGUGUGUGGAAAAUUGUUGAAAUUAUAUGAGCAUCAAAUAGUUACGUAAGGUGUGGGCAACCUUUCAGAAGUGGUGUGCCGAGUCUUCAUUUUUUCACUCUGAUUUAAGGUUUUGCAUGCCAGUAAUACAUUUUAAUGUUUUUAGAAGGUCUCUUUCUACAAGUCUCUAAUAUAUAACUAAACUAUUGUUGUAUAUAAAUUAAAUAAGGUUUUUUUUAAUAAGCUUCAUUUAAAAUUAAAUUAAAAUGCAGAGCCCCCCAAACCGGUGGCCAGGACCCGAGCAGUGUGAGUGCCACUGAAAAUCAGCUCGCAUGCCGCCUUCGGCAUGGGUGCCAUAGGUUGCCUACCCCUGAUUUACAUCCUUGAUACCUCCAGGUACUCUAAUUCAAUGUAGAUGAAGCUGGCAGUCUGUGCUAAACCUCAACUAAGUGCAUGAAAACUGAUUAACAACAAAGCUACAAGCUCCAGCAGUUCCUGCAGUCAGGUCAUUGACCCAAUCUUCAAUAACAGGCUUUUGUACAGAUACCAGGCUCCCAUUCAAACGGUGUGGGAGGCAGGAAUGAGAGAUACAGUCUUGUCUAUUCAGUUGGAUGAAGAUUCACAAGGUUUUUUUGUUGUUUUUUUUUUCCCCCCCAGAGAGAAAAACAUUGCCAUUACACAAAUUUUCUACCAGGUCCACUUAUGUUCUAUUAAAUGCUUCCUGAUGUGUUGUGCUAAUGUUCUCAUUAUUUAGAAGGAAAAAAGAAGACAAUUUGUUUCCAGGAGAGCAAAAGGCCUUAAUUUUCUUAACAUGUUUAUCUCA